AUGGCUCCGGCGCGGCCCCGUCCCGGCGUGUGCCGCAGCCCCCGCCCCGCGCCCCCAGCCCGGCUCUGCCCUGCCCUGCCCUGCCCCCGCCUCGCCAUCCCCGCGGCUCCGCUCCGCGCCGGCUCCUGCGAGCAAAGUUUGCAGCGCAGCCCCGCUGGGGGUGCCCCCCCCUCCGUGCGGCGGGGCUGCACCGCCUGGGGGGGGGACGGGGACACCGGGGGGGGCCGGCUGCCGGCUCGGCUCGGCCUGGCCUCCCCUCCCCUCCGUGCCCCCGGCCCCGCCGCCAGGCCGCGGAGGGCAGCGGGGGCACGGCCAGGGCAGGGCCGGUUCGGCUCCGCCGCGCACCCCCGGCUCGCCCCGAUCCGACCCGACCCGGCCCGGCUCGGCUCGGGGGCGGUCACGCCGGGCUCGCCCCGGUCAUUGUGUGCAGGAGGCUGCGGCCGCCCCCCCGCAGCCGCCGGUGGCACGGCCCCGCCGCUUUGUAAGGCGCCGCUUUGUGCCUCCGAGCCCCCCCCCCCCGGCCCCCGCUCACCUUCCCCGCGGGCGGCGGGGCCGCUCCAUGGGGCGGCGGGGGCAGAGCCUGGGGCAGAGCCCGCGGCGCUGCCCGGCGGGGCUGGGGCCGAGGCCGGGAGCGGGGCCGGGCGCGGUGCAGUGAGCGGGGCUGCCACUGGGGUCAGGGAGCAGGCACCAGGAAACACGGCGGCCACGGAGCGCUGCUCGCACGCACACACACACACACACACACACACACGACGCGGCUCCUCCCGCCGCCUUGCACUUCACCCCCCCGGGCAGGGAGGCAGGCAGGCAGGGAGGAAUCGCUGCUGCAUUUCGUCUCCCAAGUGCGGCAGAGCCUCCCCCCGCCCAGCCCGGCCGCACAGGCCGCCCCGAGCAGCGGCCGGGCGCGGAGCCGCAGCCCCGGGGCUCGACCCCAGCCUCAGCCCGGGCAGAGGGGGCCGGGGGGCGAUGUGUAGGGGUGAGGGGAGCGGCCCCACAGCCCCCGCGGGGCUCCAGGCGGGCAGCGCCUCCCCGCAGCCGGCUCCUGCGGUGGCUGAGCCAACCCCCGCCGGGAGGGAAAAAGCAGCGCACAGCAGCGGUACCCGGAGUACCCUUUGGGAUGAGGCACUCCUGCAAGCACUACAUCCUGAGGAAGAAACCAUGGCCUCUCCACAGAAGCGCCCCAGCUUUUUCAGAAAAAGGACAAUUCUCUUAAGGAAGUGCAACUGCAGCCUUCUGUCAGAAAUCUGCAGCCAGAGAGGAACACAUCAUUAUAAUGCUGAUAGAGCAUCAAGUAAGACUACUGAAGGAAAUAUCAUCAGUUGUCCUCUGGGCAUUCUUUUUAUAUUCGAUGGACCAGAACAUUGUCACAGGAUAAUGGUUGUCUGCCGCCUUGCCCCUAUUAAAUUAAAUUAA
rnacentral:lncRNA from 1 species